CCUACGGGUGGCAGCAGUGAGGAAUAUUGGUCAAUGGGCGGGAGCCUGAACCAGCCAAGUCGCGUGAGGGAAGACGGUCCUAUGGAUUGUAAACCUCUUUAGGCGGGGAGCAAUGCCGGGCACGCGUGCCCGGAGGGAGAGUACCCGCCGAAUAAGCAUCGGCUAACUCCGUGCCAGCAGCCGCGGUAUUACGGGGGAUGCGAGCGUUAUCGGGAUUUAUUGGGUUUAAAGGGUGCGUAGGCGGAUUUGUAGGUCAGCGGUAAAAGGUCCGGGCUCAACCCGGGCCGGCCGUUGAAACUGGGGAGCUUGAGUGGGCGAGAGGUAAGCGGAAUGCGUGGUGUAGCGGUGAAAUGCAUAGAUAUCACGCAGAACUCCGAUUGCGAAGGCAGCAUACCGGAGCCCGACUGACGCUGAGGCACGAAAGCGUGGGGAUCGAACAGGAUUAGAUACCCGGGUAGUC
rnacentral:rRNA from 1 species